rnacentral:rRNA from 1 species
AGUGAACGCUGGCGGUAGGCCUAACACACGCAAGUCGAACGGCAGCACAGUAAGAGCUUGCUCUUACGGGUGGCGAGUGGCGGACGGGUGAGGAAUACAUCGGAAUCUACUUUUUCGUGGGGGAUAACGUAGGGAAACUUACGCUAAUACCGCAUACGACCUACGGGUGAAAGCAGGGGAUCUUCGGACCUUGCGCGAUUGAAUGAGCCGAUGUCGGAUUAGCUAGUUGGCGGGGUAAAGGCCCACCAAGGCGACGAUCCGUAGCUGGUCUGAGAGGAUGAUCAGCCACACUGGAACUGAGACACGGUCCAGACUCCUACGGGAGGCAGCAGUGGGGAAUAUUGGACAAUGGGCGCAAGCCUGAUCCGGCCAUACCGCGUGGGUGAAGAAGGCCUUCGGGUUGUAAAGCCCUUUUGUUGGGAAAGAAAAGCAGCAGGUUAAUACCCCGCUGUUCUGACGGUACCCAAAGAAUAAGCACCGGCUAACUUCGUG